CAGAGUGACCAGUGGUCAUCAAUGGAGUGACCAUUUUCAUGGUGGUCACCAGUAGAGUGACCGGUGCCAUGGUGGUCAUCCACAAAGUGACCAGCACCAUGGUGACCAUCACUGUUAGGGUUGGUCAUGGUCAAGGUCAUCGUGGUCACAGUGGCCAUUGUGGCCUCCAUGGCCAUGGUCAUUGUGGCCUUGGUGAUGGCCACGGUCAUGGUGAUAACGGUGGCCAUCAUCAUGGUCAUGGUGGCCUUGGUGGCUGUUGCCAUGGUUACAGUGACCGUUGUCAUGGUCAUGGUCAUGGUGGCCAUGGUGGCCACCACCAGAGUGGUCAUCACCAUCAGGGCAGGUCACGGUGGCCAUGCUCACGGUGAUGGUGGCCUCGGUCAUGAUCAUGGUGGCCUUGGUGUCAUCUCCUCGGUGACAGCGCUGGCGAUGGUGACCGUGGUCGUGGUGGCCACGGUGGCCAUCGCUGGCAGGGUCGGUUGUGGCCAUUGUGGCCGUGAUUGUGGCUGUGACCUGGGACACGGUCGUCGUCAGGGUGACGAUGGCCUUGGUGGCCAUGGUCGUGGUCAUGGUGGCCAUGGUGGUCAUGGUGGUCAUGGUGGCCAUGAUGGUCGUGGUGGCCAUGGUGGCCGUGAUCAUGGUCAUGGUGGCCAUGAUGGUUAUGGUGGCCUUGAUUGCUUUGGUUGGCCAUGGUCGUGGUCAUGGUGGUAAUAGUCAUGGUGGCCUUGGUGGCCACACUGGUCACGUCCAUGGUCAUGGUGGCCAUGAUGGUCAUGGUGGCCUUGAUGGCCUUGGUGGCCAU
rnacentral:lncRNA from 1 species